rnacentral:rRNA from 1 species
AUUGAACGCUGGCGGCAUGCCUUACACAUGCAAGUCGAACGGCAACAGGUCUUCGGAUGCUGACGAGUGGCGAACGGGUGAGUAAUACAUCGGAACGUGCCUAGUAGUGGGGGAUAACUACUCGAAAGAGUGGCUAAUACCGCAUGAGAUCUACGGAUGAAAGCAGGGGAUCGCAAGACCUUGUGCUACUAGAGCGGCCGAUGGCAGAGUAGGUAGUUGGUGGGAUAAAAGCUUACCAAGCCGACGAUCUGUAGCUGGUCUGAGAGGACGAUCAGCCACACUGGGACUGAGACACGGCCCAGACUCCUACGGGAGGCAGCAGUGGGGAAUUUUGGACAAUGGGCGCAAGCCUGAUCCAGCAAUGCCGCGUGCAGGAUGAAGGCCUUCGGGUUGUAAACUGCUUUUGUACGGAACGAAAAGCCCCGGGUUAAUACCCUGGGGUCAUGACGGUACCGUAAGAAUAAGCACCGGCUAACUACGUGCCAGCCGCCGCGUAA